CAAAAACAUCGCCUCUUGACCCACCUAUAAGAGGUCCAGCCUGCCCAGUGACAUUGUUCAACGGCCGCGGUAUCCUAACCGUGCGAAGGUAGCGUAAUCACUUGUCCUUUAAAUGAGGACUGGUAUGAAUGGCCACACGAAAGCUAUACUGUCUCCUUUUUCUAAUCAGUUAAACUAAUCUUCCCGUGAAGAAGCGGGAAUAAACCUAUAAGACGAGAAGACCCUAUGGAGCUUCAAACAACUGAGACACCUGAUUUUUAUCUUUUUCUUCAUUAAACCAUUCUUUUCUGUCUCUAGUUUUGGGUUGGGGUGACCACGGAGCAAAACCUAACCUCCAUGAUGAACGUAUCUUUAUGUUCUUAGCAAAAAGCCACAUCUUGACGCACCAACAAACUGACUCUAAUUGACCCAAUAAUUUGAUCAACGAACCAAGUUACCCUAGGGAUAACAGCGCAAUCCACUUCAAGAGCUCUUAUCGACAAGUGGGCUUACGACCUCGAUGUUGGAUCAGGGUACCCCAGUGGUGCAGCCGCUACUAACGGUUCG
rnacentral:rRNA from 1 species